UAACCUUCCUGGUAAACCAGACGGGAAUGCAUUAUAUUUCAAAUUAAAAGGUAACUUUUAGAUUUAUGUGGUAUUUCAAAGAUUUAUUCUUCUCUAGAUACAUUAUCCAUUGUCCCUUAUACGAGGAUGACUUAAAAAUAUGAAAUUUAUAUACGUUUAUUUUUUUCAACUUUCGUUUUUGGCUCGUAUAGAACCAUGAUAUCAUACAUACUUGGAUCUACAUAUACUAACCAUUGUACCAAAUGACCAAGGAAGGCUACUAACACAACUUUAAUAAAUAUGCAUGGGGUACAUUGUUUCAAUACCUCAGCUUCUACAAAGGGGUCAGUUGACAAAACACCAAAGAAAUACCACCAAAUCAAAAAAAAGUCCAAAUAUUGUAAUAAUAAAUAUAUCUUAUAUGUGAAAAAAAGAACAAAUUUCCGAGUUUUAUUUGACAUAAUUCGUUACAACAUAAUGCAAAGAACCGUAACUCUGAUCCGUUUUGUGUAACAAUAUAAUAUGUAAUAAUAACUAUAAUAUAGUUUUUAAUUUAAACUCCUAAAAAAAAAGGAAAAAAGAAACUUAAAACAUUUGAUUCAAAACAUGUGUUUUGAAAUCAAUAUAAUCAUUCAUUUUCGAAUUUUAAAACAUUUUUAAAUGGUUGCCAGGGAAACAAACUAUUUAGUAAAUUCAAAGUUUAAACUUUUUGAAUAGUUUGGGGUUUUAUCUGUUAACAUUUAAAAUACCAUAUUGUUUUAUUGAUAAACAAAAUUUCGAUGGGACUUUAAAUUCAAUUUUCAAUUUUCAAAAGCGUCUUUUUCACCUAUAUUCAGGCAAAAUGUUGUAUUGACGGUUACCAUGGCAAAGCACAUUAUACAGGAAAAAUAAUGAAAAAAUUUACUCAUAUACCAAUGUUUUUAUCAUAUAGGGCAAAACAAUUUAAUUCUGUGACAGUCAUGAAUCACCCUCUGCAUGAUUUUUAAAAAUACAGGUACUUUAAACCCAAGUCAAAUUGAAUUCAUUUUAGAAUAUUUACUUUUAAUGGUACCACGACUGCAAAACUAUUGCUAUGGCUAAUAAUUUAUCAUUGAUUCUAAUUUUGUAGUGUGUUUAAUGGCUGCAUCAUCUCAAAGCUGUGGUGUUUGUGACCUCCGUCACAUCACAAAACCAUGCAUAGUCUGGUGUACAGAAUGUGACGAGGGACUAUGUUCAGAAUGCAAGGAACAUCAUAGUUUGUCUAAGUCAUCGAGAAGCCACAGUGUGAUACCUAUUGCCGAAUACCAGAAACUGCCAGCGGAUGUACUGAAAAUUACUCAGUAUUGUACCAGUCACGAUAAAAAAUAUCAAUUCUAUUGCCAGAAGCAUGAAUGUCCCUGCUGCAGCACAUGUAUCGUGGAAUGUCACAAAGAAUGUCAGGAAAUUGUCGAAUUAGAGAAUGUCAUUCGUAACGCCAAAUCCUCAAAUGCUAUGUGCGAGAUAGAGGAAUCAUUAGCUGAGGUAGCAGAAAAUCUAAAGAAGAUUCGCCAGCAUCAACAAGACAAUCUGUUGACUUUUAAAGAAAAAAGAAAAGAAAUCGAAAAAGAACUAAAGAAAACUAGAAUGAAGAUCAAUAACCACCUCGACAAACUACAAGAAGAUUUAAUGAAACAACUCAACGAGCUCGAAGAAAAAGAAAACUCAAAAUUUGUCAGUUAAUGUCCUCGCUAGAAAAGAAAGAAAAAGAAAUAGGAGAAUGCCAAAAUAGCCUAUUGAACAUCAAGAAACAUGCAACAGAUCUUCAAAUGUUUCUCUCAAUUAAGCAAAUAGAAGAGGACGUUUAUAGCAAAGAAAAAAAUUGCAGGCUCUUGUAGAAGGCAAGGAACAGCAUACUCUUUCAUAUCAAACCAACACCUCUAUCCAGAAUAUCAUAUCCGAUAUCAGAAGUUUUGGGGAAGUGCGUAUUGAAUCUAAUCCAUGCGACAUAGUUCGAUCAGAAGAAGGCAAGACAAGCCCAAUUGAUGAUUCCAAUCGUUCCGAAAAAAUCUAUAGAAAAUAUAAAGCUAACAGUACACAAGACCAUCGACACUCAAGGAAAUAGUAUUUACGGAUGUUGCAUCCUGCCAGAUGAUAGAUUGGUAUUUACUUACUACUAUGACAAAAGAUUAAAAAUAUUCAGCAAUGCAGGAUCAAUAGACUUUGAGGUCCAGAUGCCGUUUCACCCGUUUGAUAUAGCAUACAUCAGUGAAGACAAUUCAUUGGCUGUUACAUCUAGUGGUUCAGAAAAGCAGUGUAUAGCUAUUAUAGAUAUCAAGAAGAAACAAAUCAAGAAAACAAUUUUACUAGAUUCCAGAAGUUUUGGCAUAGCAUUGAAAGAUAAUCGAUUGAUUUAUUCCGAUUACGACAAAGGUAUACGAAUGAUCAAUCUAGACGACGAGUCUAUACGUGACAUAGUCCGAGAACAAAUGCCAAGUCACUGUUACAUUGCAACUUGUAGGGACAACGUAUAUCAUACAAAUUACGAUAAACACACUGUUAUUUGUUAUACUCUUCAAGAUAAAAUACAAUGGACAUUUCAUAACGAAAGCGUUCUAAAGAGUCCUCAUGGUAUUGAUGUAGAUCAUGCUGGUAAUGUUUACGUGGUGGGAAACGAAUCGAACAAUGUGGUAGUUAUCUCCCCUGAUGGACAACGACAUAGAGAAGUGUUGACAGCAAGUGAUGGUCUAAGUGAACCUGUGUCACUUCAUUAUAGUAGACCAAACAAUCAGUUGCUUGUCGCUAACUCCCACAGCAAGGCUUUUUUAUUCAAUUGUAAUUGAAAAAAUAACACUUUGAAAUUAUGUCUGUUUAGAUCAUUAAUUGAAAAGUUUAUGGACAGUAGACAUUAUCUAUUUACACAAACAAAAGUCAUGAAUUUCUUCUUCAUAAUAAUAAUAAUUAACUUUUCAAUAUUCCUCUAUAACAUUUGACUGACGAACGACACAGUUUAUUUUAGUUCGAACAACGUUUUAUCGAACCAUAUAUCCAUCUGUAAUAUAAAAAUAAGGAGAUGUGGUAUAAUCACCAAUGAGACAACUACCCACAGAGUUCAUAUGAAGUGGGUGUAAGCAGUUAUUGUCUGCUACAAAAGGUCCCGACAUGAGCAAUAUAAAACAACUAAAUUAGAAAACUGACGAACUAAUUUAUGACAAAACAAUUUCCGAAAAAAACAUGUAUAACAGACUUGAACCAAAGGCAACCACCGAACAACAGGCUCGAUCCUCACUUGGAACAGGCACAUAAACAUAGUGGCGGGAAUAAAUAUGUUUGAGUGCGCUCAGUCCUCACCAAAACGGGGCUGAUGUUACAGAAUCAUACAGCACAACACAACCCUAAACUAUAAUAACUCAAUUGAAUUAUCAGUUCACCAUGUAAAACUAUCAUUGACGAUAACAGACCAGACGUGGAUCCAGCCUUUCUUAACAAACCACGGAAACGUUCACAAAAUCAAAUAAAAUUGAAAAAAGUGGAGUUUCAAUCACCAGAAUACCAUCCCCGC
rnacentral:lncRNA from 1 species